GAUUGUGUUGGGUGGCCUGUGGGCAAGCUAAAUAUUUCACCUUUACUCGGUUUCGGAUACCUGGCAUCUACGUAUGUGGAUCAGAAAUUCACCAGAAUCAGUCUUUCACAGGGGAGGCAGAGGCGCUUUCUGAUGAUGGCACCAGAAAUUCUACAACUGACCGGACUGAUGACAAACUAUGCUUGCAGUCGACCCCAUGACUGGAGGAUAUAUAUGAGACAACGAGAUGCUCAAUUCAUUCUGAGGUGAAAAUAAUCAGUAAUAAUUGCUGUCACUUGUGCCAGGGUGGUGAUGACAGUACUGAAAUGCCUGUUGAUUUAACCGGAAAACGCUACCAGACUCCAAUGUCAAACAUAGACAAAAUGAGUUGUGCAGUUUAAGGGUUACUUAAAUUACAACUUGCAUCAUUUUAUCAAAAAUAUUUAAAUAAUUUCUUAUACUUCAAACCCAUACAUUUAAUACAGGAUCAGGUUUGAUUUUUUUUUUUUUAAUUGCAAAUAAUUAAGCUCCAGUACAGAAAUGUUCCCUUGACAUCUUGUUAAUUAAUGACAUGCUGUAAUGUCUCCAACCACCAAUAGAAAAACUGCCAAUAUAAUAAAUCAGACCACAAAUCUCGCA
ensembl:lncRNA